UACGUAGGGCGCAAGCGUUGUCCGGAAUUAUUGGGCGUAAAGGGCUCGUAGGCGGUUUGUCGCGUCGGGAGUGAAAACAUCGGGCUUAACUCGAUGCUUGCUUUCGAUACGGGCAGACUAGAGGUAUGCAGGGGAGAAUGGAAUUCCUGGUGUAGCGGUGAAAUGCGCAGAUAUCAGGAGGAACACCGGUGGCAAAGGCGGUUCUCUGGGCAUUACCUGACGCUGAGGAGCGAAAGUGUGGGGAGCGAACAGG
rnacentral:misc_RNA from 1 species